CCCCUAGUAACUGCGAGUGAAGCGGGAAAAGCUCAAAUUUAAAAUCUGGCAGGCAUUUGUCUGUCCGAGUUGUAACCUAGAGAAGUGUAACCUGUGCUGGACCGUGUACAAGUCUCCUGGAAUGGAGCAUCAUAGAGGGUGAGAAUCCCGUCUUUGACAUGGACUACCAGUGCACUAUGGUUGUGCACUCAACGAGUCGAGUUGUUUGGGAAUGCAGCUCUAAAUGGGUGGUAAAUUCCAUCUAAAGCUAAAUAUUGGCGAGAGACCGAUAGCGAACAAGUACCGUGAGGGAAAGAUGAAAAGAACUUUGGAAAGAGAGUUAAACAGUAUGUGAAAUUGUUGAAAGGGAAACGCUUGAAGUCAGCUGUGUUGGCUGGGGAUCAAGCCAGCUUAUUUGCUGGGUGUACUUCCUGGUUGACAGGCCAACAUCAGUUUUGACCAUCAGAGAAAGGCUAAGGGAAUGUGGCACCUUUACAGGUGUGUUAUAGCCCUUGGUUGUAUGUGAUGGAUGGGACUGAGGACAGCAGCGUGCCACAAGGCCGGGUUUCGACCACGUUCACGCUUUGGAUGUUGGCAUAAUGGCUUUAAGCGACCCGUCUUGAAACACGGACCAAGGAGUCUAACAUGCCUGCAAGUGUUUGGGUGGAAAACUCGAGCGCGUAAUGAAA
rnacentral:rRNA from 1 species